GAACUGUGCGAACGUUAUUCGGAAUCACUGGGCUUAAAGGGUGCGUAGGCGGGUUUAAAGGUCUGAUGUGAAAGCCCACGGCUCAACCGUGGAAUUGCGUUGGAAACCAUAAGCCUUGAGGAGAUCAGAGGUGAGCGGAACUGAUGGUGGAGCGGUGAAAUGCGUUGAUAUCAUCAGGAACACCGGUGGCGAAAGCGGCUCACUGGGAUCUUUCUGACGCUGAGGCACGAAAGCUAGGGGGAGCGAACGGGAUUAGAUACCCCGGUAGUCCUAGCUGUAAACGAUCAGUACUAGUCCCGUGGGGGCUUCCACACCCUCUCGGACGUAGCGAAAGUGUUAAGUACUGCGCCUGGGGAGUAUGGUCGCAAGGCUG
rnacentral:rRNA from 1 species